GAGUGGUGAAGGGGUGAGUAAUAUAUCGGAACGUGCCCAGUCGUGGGGGAGAACGUAACGAAAGUUACGCUAAUACCGCAUACGAUCUACGGAUGAAAGCGGGGGACUCGCAAGAGCCUCGCGCGAUUGGAGCGGCCGAUAUCAGAUUAGGUAGUUGGUGGGGUAAAGGCUCACCAAGCCAACGAUCUGUAGCUGGUCUGAGAGGACGACCAGCCACACUGGAACUGAGACACGGUCCAGACUCCUACGGGAGGCAGCAGUGGGGAAUUUUGGACAAUGGACGCAAGUCUGAUCCAGCCAUUCCGCGUGCAGGAUGAAGGCCCUCGGGUUGUAAACUGCUUUUGUACGGAACGAAAAGGUUUCUAUUAAUACUAGGAGCUCAUGACGGUACCGUAAGAAUAAGCACCGGCUAACUACGUGCCAGCAGCCGCGGUAAUACGUAGGGUGCAAGCGUUAAUCGGAAUUACUGGGCGUAAAGCGUGCGCAGGCGGUUAUAUAAGACAGAUGUGAAAUCCCCGGGCUCAACCUGGGAACUGCAUUUGUGACUGUAUAGCUAGAGUACGGUAGAGGGGGAUGGAAUUCCGCGUGUAGCAGUGAAAUGCGUAGAUAUGCGGAGGAACACCGAUGGCGAAGGCAAUCCCCUGGACCUGUACUGACGCUCAUGCACGAAAGCGUGGGGAGCAAACAGGAUUAGAUACCCUGGUAGUCCACGCCCUAAACGAUGUCAACUGGUUGUUGGGUCUUCACUGACUCAGUAACAAAGCUAACGCGUGAAGUUGACCGCCUGGGGAGUACGGCCGCAAGGUUGAAACUCAAGGAAUUGACGGGGACCCGCACAAGCGGUGG
rnacentral:rRNA from 1 species